UACGUAGGUGGCAAGCGUUGUCCGGAUUUACUGGGCGUAAAGGGCGUGCAGGCGGUUUGUUAAGUCUAGGGUGAAAGCUCCCGGCUCAACUGGGAGAGGUCCUUGGAUACUGGCAGACUUGAGGAGGGUAGAGGAGAGUGGAAUUCCCGGUGUAGUGGUGAUAUGCGUAGAUAUCGGGAGGAACACCAGUGGCGAAGGCGGCUCUCUGGGCCCUACCUGACGCUGAGGAGCGAAAGCGUGGGGAGCGAACAGG
rnacentral:rRNA from 1 species